UGAGGAAUAUUGGUCAAUGGGCGAGAGCCUGAACCAGCCACGUCGCGUGAAGGAAGACUGACCUUACGGUUUGUAAACUUCUUUUGUAGAGGGGUAAUGGCAGAUACGUGUAUUUGCGUGAAAGUACUCUACGAAUAAGCAUCGGCUAACUCCGUGCCAGCAGCCGCGGUAAUACGGGGGAUGCGAGCGUUAUCCGGAAUUAUUGGGUUUAAAGGGUGCGCAGGUGGCUAAUCAGGUCAGUGGUGAAAAGCUAUGGCUCAACCAUGGUCUUGCCAUUGAAACCGUAUAGCUAGAGAGGAGACGAGGUAGGCGGAAUGUGUGGUGUAGCGGUGAAAUGCAUAGAUAUCACACAGAACUCCGAUUGCGAAGGCAGCUUACCAGGCUUUAUCAGACACUUAGGCACGACAGCGUGGGGAUCAAACAGG
rnacentral:rRNA from 1 species